AUGGAGCUUCCGAAUCGACGAUCCACUCCGUUAAAUAUGAUCUAGAGUAUUUGAAAUUUCUAAAAAAUAAAUUUCGUAAAUUUUUGAAAUCAUAAUAAAGUCUAUCAAGUGGGCAUAAAAUGAACGGUCAAAAUCAAACGACAUCCUAAAAAAGCAUGAUUGGAUCCUUCAAUUCAAGAUCGGAGUUAUUGAUCUUUAUCUAUGUAGUGAAUAAAAUUUUCUAUCAAAAAAUCAACAAAUUUCGAUUCUUUUACACCGUUAAACUAGAAAGUAUUCCAUACCGGCCGUUAAAAAUUGUCAAAUUUGUGACCUCUUGAUCCUAAGGUAAAUAAUGUCGAAAAAUUAUAAAAUUUGAUUUCUAGAAGUUUUAAAUGCUGUAAAUAAUGUUUAACGGUGUGGAUCGUCAAUUCGGAAGCUCUAUUAUCGAAAACAACUUAUGACUACGAGGGCGAUCGUACUCAUAAUAGUAUAGUAGCCGGACCCUAUAUAUAUAUAUAUAUAUAUAUAUAUAUAUAUAUAUCAAGAGAGAAAAUCUGGCUACUAUACUAUCGAUAGUAGCAAGUGCUUGAUACAAUCGAGUUUUUCGUCGUUAGAUCUACCUCUUUCACUAUUUGUCUAUUUCUAUCUAUUAAAUCAUAUUAUUCAAUCAACCACCCACUCAACCCUAAGAGACCACUAUCAUUCUAGCCGCACAUCAUUUCUUCCAAGGGCCGAAAAUUUAAUAACACAAAGUGUUUGGUACUAUUAAUAGUAUAAUAACCUAAUUUUAUAUUUAUAUAUACACACGAAUCUUAAUUAAUCUCCAUCUAUUAGCUUUUUUAUGUUUUUUAAUU
rnacentral:lncRNA from 1 species